rnacentral:lncRNA from 1 species
GCUCAAAAGCCGACCCGAACACCUCCAACACCUUCAUGGGCUUCGGCCCAUCGGUCUCUCCAGCCCUUCUGGUAUUGAAUCUUCGGCCCAAAGGAGGGUCGGUAAAACGCUCCCGAACAUUGCCCCCCCAGUCUCUAAUCAUAACAUAUUUAUGAUUGGAGACUUGAAAGGUCAGGACUUGAACGGUCAUGACAGAUAAUGAUGAACUAUCUGCGGAAGCCGUACAGUCACUUCUUGAUAUUUGAAACGUUGCACGCCUUUUCACGCCUGGGCCCACCUCAAGUAUUUAAUAGCCGCCUUGGGGUUUCGUGUCGUACUCCUUAUAAAAACUCCCCUUCUCCCCUCAUUAUCACUUUUACUGACUCCUUGCUUUCAAAUUCUCCGGCAAGGCGAUUUCCG